GUGUAUGUGCUGAUUAGGCAGUGUAUUGUUAGUUAGCUGUUGUUCACAUACCAGCAACUAAAUACACUUCCACAUUAGCACACAACCU
rnacentral:pre_miRNA from 1 species